rnacentral:rRNA from 1 species
ACGACAGUUUAGUAAAAACUCAAGACUUUGCAAAACGAAAGUUAAGCAUAAGGUCUGAUAUCUGCCCGGUGUCAGAAGUCUAAUAGAGUAUGUAACCAAUGCAUAUUAUUGAAAACCUGAUAAACGGCGGUCGUAACUAUGACGAUCCUAAGCGUAGCGAAAUUCCUUGGCCUUUAAUUGGGGUCCCUUGCAUGAAAGGUAUAACGAGUGCUUCGCUGUCUCCAAGAUUGACUCAGCGAAUUUGAAUUCUCCGUGCAGAUGCGGAGUUGUUUUGAUUAGACGGUAAGACCCUGUGCACCUUUACUAUAAGUUUAGAGUGGCCCAAUGAGCACUGUAUGUAGUCUAGGUGGCAGCUUCGCUGUAAGUGCCUUACAAAGGAGCAUCUUUGAAAGACCACCAACAGCGCUACGAUUGGACCUAUCCAGCCUUGUCCCUGGUAUACUCUAUGCGUGGUAGUUUGACUGGGGCGGUCGCCUCCCAAAGAGUAACGGAGGUGUGCGAAGGUGAGCUCAACCGAGUCGGAAAUUCGGUUUUGAAUAAAACAGUUUAAGCUCGCCUGAUUGCGAGAAUUACAUUUCGAGCAAAGACGAAAGUCGGUUGUAUUGAUCUAGGGGUGCUGUAUGGAAGGGCCCCUACUCAACGAAUCAAAGGUACGCCAGGGAUAACAGGCUGAUGCCCCCCGCGAGAUCUUAUUAACGGGGGCGUUUGGCACCUCGAUGUCGACUCCUCACAUCCUAGGGCUGUAGUUGGUCCUAAGGGUGCGCCUGUUCGGCGCGUAGUGUGGGACGCGAGUUGGGUUUAGAACGUCGUGAGCCAGUUCGGUUCCUAUCUGUCAAAACGGUAGAAAAAUAAUUUAAGCUGAUUCUUAGUACGAGAGGACCGGAAUCAAUAAACCACUGGUGUGCGUGUUGUUUGGCAAAGCCUGGCGAAGCCAGCUUUCCUAAAGCAUUGCAUUGUAGCUACGUUUAGAUAGAAGAACUGCUGAAAGCAUAUAAGCAGGAAAUUUCUUAAAAUGUUUUUCCAC